AUUGAACGCUGGCGGCAGGCCUAACACAUGCAAGUCGGGCGGGGACUUCGGUCCUAGCGGCGAACGGGUGAGUAAUGCUUGGGAAUCUGCCCAGUAGUGGGGGAUAACGUCCCGAAAGGGACGCUAAUACCGCAUACGUCCUACGGGAGAAAGAGGGGGAUCUUCGGACCUCUCGCUAUUGGAUGAGCCCAAGUCGGAUUAGCUAGUUGGUAGGGUAAUGGCCUACCAAGGCGACGAUCCGUAGCUGGUCUGAGAGGAUGAUCAGCCACACUGGAACUGAGACACGGUCCAGACUCCUACGGGAGGCAGCAGUGGGGAAUAUUGGACAAUGGGCGAAAGCCUGAUCCAGCCAUGCCGCGUGUGUGAAGAAGGCCUUCGGGUUGUAAAGCACUUUAAGCGGGGAGGAAGGUUCGCGGCCUAAUACGUCGCGGAAUUGACGUUACCCGCAGAAUAAGCACCGGCUAACUCUGUG
rnacentral:rRNA from 1 species